AGAGGGUGCGAGCGUUAAUCGGAUUUACUGGGCGUAAAGCGUGCGUAGGCGGCUUUUUAAGUCGGAUGUGAAAUCCCUGAGCUUAACUUAGGAAUUGCAUCCGAUACUGGGAAGCUAGAGUAUGGGAGAGGAUGGUAGAAUUCCAGGUGUAGCGGUGAAAUGCGUAGAGAUCUGGAGGAAUACCGAUGGCGAAGGCAGCCAUCUGGCCUAAUACUGACGCUGAGGUACGAAAGCAUGGGGAGCAAA
rnacentral:rRNA from 1 species